AUGUUCCAGGCCCAGGUCCCAGGCCCAGGUCCCAGGCCCAGGUCCCAGGCCGAGGUCCCGGGCCCAGGUCCCAGGCCCAGGUCCCAGGCCCAGGUCCCAGGCCGAGGUCCCAGGCCGAGGUCCCAGGCCCAGGUCCCAGGCCGAGGUCCCGGGCCCAGGUCCCAGCUCGGGCGCUGCUCCCGCCGCGGCUCCCGGUCCGUUCCGCUGCUCGCCCCCAGGCGGCGCGCUCGUAAAGCUUGUAAAGCCUUUCAGGCUGCUCUUGGGACACUGGUUAUCUGGGCUGCUUCUAAGAAUGGAUCAGAAAGAAGUCUUCUGUUAGCUGUAAAGAUUAUACCAUGAUGUGUUUGGACUUCUGCCAUCCUGUCUUGAAAAGUAAUACAUUCGAUUUCCUGUCCCGGGCAGAGCAACAGCCUUCAUUCAUAAAAUGGAAGAUUAACGUAAGCAAUGGAAUAUCAAGUGAAGAGACAGUUUGCAUCUGAGCUAUUUGAAUUCCCAGCCAUUGUCCCCAGUGAUUUACUGCUAUGAGGACAUGCUUGAACAGCAUGAAGCAAAUGUCUCCUCAAAAGACUGACUGCUGUGAACUACUGUGACCUCUCUCAGGAGGGAGGUGCUAAGGGUCUGAAACUCUCCCCCACCUCUCCCUUAUGGCUCCCCUCUUCCAUUUUCUUCCCCAUUACACACUUUUGAUACAGAGCUCUGUUCUUAUCAGCCCUUUGCACACCAGAAUGAAGCAGGUGCAAGGGAGAUGAAAGCAUGACCUCAUUUAAUCCUCCUCUGCACCUCUCCUAUGGAGGAGAAUUUCUAGGGCUACAGCCAAAAGUGAUUCUGCACUUUUGAGGCAAUAAAGAAAAACUCUUUCCCUUCCUACUUCAUCUCCUCAGCAGGAAGAAUAAUGUUAGACUUAACAGAAUCAUCAGUAUUUAUCAUAAAUGUUCUUGCAUCCCCAAUUGGACCUCAGCCCAAGGCAUGAGGAAGUGCAGCAGCUACGGGGCAGUGACACAGCUCCUGCACAGAAAUGCUACGAGGUGUGAAUCAUUAAAGUUAUCUGGUUCGUGCGCACAAGCACAAAGACAACAGCUGUAUUCACAACAUACACAAUACCACAUCCUACUGCACCUAAAAGAAAGAAACAGUCCUGAACUGAUGCAUUAAAUAAAAA
rnacentral:lncRNA from 1 species